CCCAGACUCCUACGGGAGGCAGCAGUGGGGGAUAUUGCACAAUGGGGGAAACCCUGAUGCAGCGACGCCGCGUGGGUGAAGAAGCGCCUCGGCGCGUAAAGCCCUGUCAGCAGGGAAGAAAAUGACGGUACCUGAAGAAGAAGCCCCGGCUAACUACGUGCCAGCAGCCGCGGUAAUACGUAGGUGGCAAGCGUUGUCCGGAUUUACUGGGUGUAAAGGGCGUGUAGCCGGGCUGACAAGUCAGAUGUGAAAUCCGGGGGCUCAACCCCCGGACUGCAUUUGAAACUGUUGGUCUUGAGGAUCGGAGAGGCAGGCGGAAUUCCUAGUGUAGCGGUGAAAUGCGUAGAUAUUAGGAGGAACGCCAGUGGCGAAGGCGGCCUGCUGGACGACAACUGACGGUGAGGCGCGAAAGCGUGGGGAGCAAACAGGAUUAGAUACCCUUGUAGGU
rnacentral:rRNA from 1 species